rfam:Triticum aestivum genome assembly, contig: Triticum_aestivum_CS42_TGACv1_scaffold_177597_2DS
AUUUUACUCCCUCCGAUCCAUAUUACUUGUCGCUCAAACAGAUGUAUCUAGCCGUAUUUCAGUGCUAGAUACAUACGUUUGAGCGACAAGUAAUAUGGAUCAGAGCGAGUAUUAG